rnacentral:rRNA from 1 species
CCCGCCCGCCUACGGGAGGCAGCAGUAAGGAAUAUUGGGCAAUGGGCGAAAGCCUGACCCAGCGACGCCGCGUGGGCGAUGAAGGUCUUUGGAUUGUAAAGCGCUGUUCAGGGAGACGAAGGGAUCGUCGGGAAAUACCUGAUGUCUUGACGGUA